rnacentral:rRNA from 1 species
AGUGAACGCUGGCGGUAGGCCUAACACAUGCAAGUCGAACGGCAGCACAGUAAGAGCUUGCUCUUACGGGUGGCGAGUGGCGGACGGGUGAGGAAUAGAUGGGAAUCUACUUUUUCGUGGGGGAUAACGUAGGGAAACUUACGCUAAUACAGCAUACGACCUACGGGUGAAAGCAGGGGCUCUUCGGACGUUGGGUGAUUGAAUGAGCCGAUGUCGGAUUAGCUAGGUGGCGGGGUAAAGGCCCACCAAGGCGACGAUCCGUAGCUGGUCUGAGAGGAUGAUCAGCCACACUGGAACUGAGACACGGUCCAGACUCCUACGGGAGGCAGCAGUGGGGAAUAUUGGACAAUGGGCGCAAGCCUGAUCCAGCCAUACCGCGUGGGUGAAGAAGGCCUUCGGGUUGUAAAGCCCUUUUGUUGGGAAAGAAAAGCAGCAGGUUAAUACCCCGCUGUUCUGACGGUACCCAAAGAAUAAGCACCGGCUAACUUCGUG